rnacentral:rRNA from 1 species
UAGGGAAUAUUGGUUAAUGGGCGAAAGCCUGAACCAGCAACGCCGCGUGCACGAUGACGGCCUUCGGGUUGUAAAGUGCUUUUUGGAGGGAAGAGGAAGGACGGUACCUCCAGAAUAAGUCUCGGCUAACUACGUGUCAGCAGCCGCGGUAACACGUAGGAGACAAGCGUUAUUCGGAUUUACUGGGCGUAAAGCGCGUGCAGGCGGUCUGACAAGUUGGAUGUGAAAGCUCCUGGCUUAACUGGGAGAGGUCGUUCAAAACUAUCAGACUAGAGAGUGGUAGAGGAAGGCGGAAUUCCGGGUGUAGUGGUGAAAUGCGUAGAUAUCCGGAGGAACACCAGUGGCGAAAGCGGCCUUCUGGACCAAUUCUGACGCUCAGACGCGAAAGCUAGGGUAGCGAACG